ACUGGGGAUAAUUCCGGAUAGGUCACAGAUGCUGGAAUGCACUGUGGCUCAAAGCUCCGGCGCCGAAGGAUGGGUCUGCGGCCUAUCAGGGUUGUAGUGGGUGUAAUGUACCUACUAGCCUACGACGGGUACGGGUUGUGAGAGCAAGAGCCCGGAGAUGGAUUCUGAGACACGAAUCCAGGCCCUACGGGGUGCAGCAGGCGCGAAAACUUUACAAUGCGGGAAACCGUGAUAAGGGAAUCUCGAGUGCCAGCAUAUAAUGUUGGCUGUCCAGAUGCCUAAAAAGCAUCUGUUAGCAAGGGCCGGGCAAGACCGGUGCCAGCCGCCGCGGUAACACCGGCGGCCCGAGUGGUAACCGCUUUUAUUGGGUCUAAAGGGUCUGUAGCCGGCCAUGUAAGUCCCUUGGGAAAUCUGGCAGCUCAACUGUCAGGCUGCUAGGGGAUACUGCUUGGCUUGGGACCGGGAGAGGUGAGAGGUACCUUGAGGGUAGGGGUGAAAUCUUGUGAUCCUCGGGGGACCACCAGUGGCGAAGGCGUCUCACCAGAACGGGUCCGACGGUAAGGGACGAAAGCUAGGGGCACGAACCGGAUUAGAUACCCGGGUAGUCCUAGCCGUAAACGAUGCUCGCUAGGUGUCAGUCACGGUGCGACCGUGAUUGGUGCCGUAGGGAAGCCGUGAAGCGAGCCACCUGGGAAGUACGGCCGCAAGGCUGAAACUUAAAGGAAUUGGCGGGGGAGCACUACAACGGGUGGAGCCUGCGGUUUAUUGA
rnacentral:rRNA from 1 species